CCAAUUAGAUAACAACACCAACAUAUGGUGAUUCAUAAUUUUCUUUCUGAUCGCUGAUUAUCAGCGACGCAUCGUUCAAAUUUCUGACCUAUCAACUUUAGAUGUUAAGGUAGUGUCUUAACAUGGUGGCAACGGGUAACGGACCGUGGGUGCGGGACUCCGGAGAGGGAGCCGAGAAACGGCUACCACAUCCAAGGAAGGCAGCAGGCGCGCAAAUUACCCAAUUCGGACUCCGAGAGGUAGUGACAAGAAAUAUCAAUAGGGGACCCUAUGGGUCUUCUAAUUGGAAUGAGUACAAGCUAAACAGCUUAACGAGAAUCCAGCAGAGGGCAAGUCUGGUGCCAGCAGCCGCGGUAAUUCCAGCUCUGUAAGCGUAUAUCAAAGUUGUUGCAGUUAAAACGCUCGUAGUCGGAUUUUGGUAGUUCCGGGAGUGUGCGCGUCGUGCGCGCGCUCUGCAGGGGCUGCUUUUGUGGAUCUGCGUAGGAUGAGGCAACUUUAUUGUUGAACGUCUUUUGCAACCACCUUUUACUGUGAAAAAAUUAAAGUGUUCAAAGCAGGCAUUUGUCGUGAAUACAUUAGCAUGGAAUAAUGGAAUAGGACUUGGUUUUAUUUUGUUGGUUUGUUAUGGCCGAGUAAUGAUUAAAAGGGACAGUUGGGGGCAUUUGUAUUUCGGGGCCAGAGGUGAAAUUCUUAGAUCCCCGAAAGACAAACCGCUGCGAAAGCGUCUGCCAAGGAUGUUUUCAUUGAUCAAGAACGAAAGUAAGGGGAUCGAAGACGAUCAGAUACCGUCGUAGUCUUUACUAUAAACGAUGAGGACUGGGGAUCGGGCGAGGAAUUGCGAUGACCCGCCCGGCACCCUCCGGGAAACCAAAGUGUUUGCUUUCUGGGGGGAGUAUGGUCGCAAGGCUGAAACUUAAAGGAAUUGACGGAAGGGCAUCACCGGGUGUGGAGCCUGCGGCUUAAUUUGACUCAACACGGGAAAACUUACCAGGUCAGGACAUAGUGAGGAUUGACAGAUUGAGAGCUCUUUCUUGAUUCUAUGGUUGGUGGUGCAUGGCCGUUCUUAGUUGGUGGAGUGAUUUGUCUGGUUAAUUCCGUUAACGAGCGAGACCUGGGCGUGCUAAAUAGGGGCUACUACCAUUUUGGUAGUGCGUUAUCUCUUCUUAGACGGACUGCGGGUGUCUAAUCCGCGGAAGCUCCAGGCAAUAACAGGUCUGAGAUGCCCUUAGAUGUUCUGGGCCGCACGCGUGCUACACUGAGUGGAUCAGCGGGUCAGGUUGUGCGAAAGCAUUUCCUAAUCUUUAAAUCCGCUCGUGAUGGGGAUUGAGGGUUGCAAUUUUCCCUCAUGAACGAGGAAUACCUGUAAGC
rnacentral:rRNA from 1 species